GUGCCUAUAUUGAAACUUUGCCCAAGAGUGGAAAAGCAUGUCUAGGUGAUAUCAUCUAUCGUUACAUCACUGCUGACAAUUUCUCACCUGAAUGUCUUCUUGAUUGCCUGGACUUGUCAUCAGAGCACCAUACGCUGGAAGUUGCAAAUAGAAUUGAGGCUGCUGUGCAUGUUUGGAGACUGAAGGACCAGAAGAAACAUCCACAUAAAAGAAAAUCUAAAGGCAAGUCAUGGGGAGGGAAGGUCAAGGGCCUUGUUGCAGAUGGUGGUAAGAAUCAAUAUCUGGGAGAACGAGCAGAAACUCUCUUGCAUAGUCUCAGGCUUCGCUUCCCUGGUCUUCCUCAAACUGCACUUGACAUGAACAAAAUACAGUAUAACAAGG
rnacentral:misc_RNA from 1 species